UCUCCCAGUUUGGAUCCCAGCGGUCGCGGCCCCCUCUCUCUCGGACCCCCACUCCUCUCCCCCCUGCUCCCACCACCCCACUCCCCCUCUGUCCAUCCUCCCUCCCCGAGCCUCGACACGGGAUUCGACACGUCACCUCACCCUCGCAGGAGCUCCGCCCACACCUGAACAGCCAGUCAACCAGGAGCCCAUAUUUGGAGCAGAGGGGGAGUGGCCAGGGGGCAGAGGGGCGGGACCCUCAGAAGCAGGAUUGGUACACGAAGUACUUCUCCUUCUGAACACACACACCCCACCCCCCCACACACACACACCACACACACACACAGGUGACCUCUACACACCUGUACAACACACUCAGCUUUAAACAAACACCUGACAGACCAAAACUAUGCCUGUUCAAUGCAGAUGUAUUGUAUUAUAAUUAUAAUGUGGAAUAAAGUAUUUUAUUUAUAUCUA